CCUAUGAGCUGACACAGUCACCCUCAGCGUCAGUGGCCCCAGGACAGAUGACCAGGAUCACCUGUGGGGAAAGCAGUAUUGGAAGUAAAAGUGCUCAAUGGUACCAGCAGAAGCCAGCCAGGCCCGUGUGUGGGUCAUCUAUGGGGAUAGCGGGCGGCCUUCAGGGAUCUCUGAGAGAUUCUCUGGCUCCAACUUGGGGAACGUGGCCACCCUGACCAUCAACAGGACCCAGGGUGGGGACAAG
rnacentral:lncRNA from 1 species